rnacentral:lncRNA from 1 species
AAGAUAUCUGACAUUUCUUUUGGAGAGACCUCAUAGAUAGGCAUUGAGACUAGAAGGACCUGGCUGAGCCUAGCCUUUAUGAGAGGGUGAAGUGCCCUGCUGAGUCAGCCUUUCAAUUGUCCUUGCCAAUAUGUCAAUCAUGGAAGUGGAGCAGUCUUGGAACCUCCGGACUGUCCCAACUGCUAGCCAAAUACCAUCAACUGACCCCUGUUAAUUCCCGGUGGGGAAGAAGAAUCGGCAAUCCAAGCCUCACCCCUAAUAUUGGCCCACAGAAUCAAGAGAAAUAAUGCAUUUUUUUAAAAAAAGCAGCUAAGUUUGGGAAUAGUUUGUUAUACAACAACUGAUAACUGGAACAGAAUUUGAUACCUGGAAAUGGGGUGCUUCUAUAACUAUAACCACCCAAUGGGUUUACCUUGCCUACUGCCUAAACAGAGCCAAUUUAUCAAGACAGGGGAACUGCCAUAGAGAAAGAGUAAUUCACACAGAGUCGGCUGUGCAGAAGACUGAAGUUUUAUUAUUACUCAAAUCAGUCUCCCCAGGCAUUCAGGGAUCGGUUUUUAAGAACAACUUGGUGGCUGGGGGGAAACCAGUGAGCCGGGAGUGCUGAUUGGUUUGGUCAGAGAUGAAAUCAUAGGGAGUAAAGCUGUCUUCUUGAGCUGAGUCAGUUCCUGGGUAGGGGCCACAAGAUCAGAUGAGCCAUUUUAUCGAUCCAGGUGGUGUCAGCUGAUCCAUCAAGUGCAGGGUCUGCAAAAUAUCUCAAGCACUGAUCUUAGGAACAGUUUAGAGAGGGUGAGAAUCUUGUAGCCUCCAGCUGCAGGACUCCAAAACCAUAAUUUCUCAUCUUGUCGUUAAUCUGUUAGUUUUACAAAGGCAUUCUAGUCCCCAGACAAGAAGGAGGUUUGUUUUGGGAAAGGGCUGUUAUCAUCUUCGUUUUAAACUGUAAACUAUGGUCAGGCGCAGUGGCUUAUGCCUGUAAUCCCAGCACUUUGGGAGGCUGAGGUGGGUGGAUUACUUGAGGUCAGGAGUUUGAGACCAGCCUGGCCAACAUGGUGAAACCCCGCCUCUACUAAAAAUACAAAAAUUAGCCAGGCAUGGUGGCGGGCAGCUGUAAUCCCAGCUACUUGGGAGGCUAAGGCAGGGAGAAUUGCUUGAACCUUGGAGGCAAAGGUUGCAGUGACGUGAGACUGCGCCACUGCACUCCAGCCUGAGUGACAGAGCGAGACUCUGUCUCAAACAAAA